rnacentral:tRNA from 1 species
GCCUCGGUAGCUCAGUCGGUAGAGCAGUUGACUCUUAAUCAAUUGGUCCCAGGUUCGAAUCCUGGCCGGGGCACCA